CCAUGCACACGCAGCUGCACGACUCCAGGCUGAAGUUCCCGUGGCCGCUGCACUGCGGGAUGUAAUCCAGCUGCCCUGCAAGGAUGCAGGACCGAGGGUCAGAGCCCACCGCGGGCGAGGUGGAGAAGGGCAAGAGAUCCUGGUCCCUCCUAUGAGAAGCAGAUACGUGCCCGAAGACAUCAUCCCUCUCCUGGAACAAUUCCCAUCCAGACUGCGAAUACUGGGAAUGCCAAUCAGGAUCUCCUCAGAUCUCAGCCUCUAGUUAAGUUAUCAAGAGGAGAGAGGAUGCUUGUAACUCCAUGCUGCUUCCCUGGCUCUGAAGGGCAGCUUAGGUGAAACAUCUUUGACUCUGAUGGGGGCUCUUGGAGAGCUUCACAGAAGUACAUAUUUUUAUUCAGCUUUUCAGAUGCAAUCACUCCUCCUACAGAGAAGAUGAAGGGGUUUAUUGCCAGCUCCCAUGGUGCUGCCCUCAGCCCAGGGACAGCUUGGAAGAGCAGCAACUCUGUCUCUGCUCCCUGUCCCACAAGCAGUGGCUGAUGUCUAACAGCGUCUGAGGGACUGCAGGGCUGGGAAAUCCCCCUGCUCACACCUCCCCAGCUGCAGUUUUAUCCAUCAUAAAGGACUUCAGCUUUGGCUGUUACGCAGCGAGCAGGGCAUCCAAACCCAAGUGACCAAAUCCCUGCCUGGGGGUUUUCCUGUCCUACAGGACCUGAGCCAAGCUUCUCCACUAAAGCAGAGCCCCAUCGUGGGUGAACCUCCAUCAGCACUCUGAGUGGCACCACCAGGUUUUGCAUUUCUCUCUCCUGCCUUUCGCUCGAGCCCUCAGUCCCCAGCGAGAGCGAACGGGAUGUCGUUACUACCUGUGGC